GUUUUGUUCAUAUAGCAUGUUCACUACCAACCAUAGUUGACCAAAGUACUUAACAAGCUCCAAAAAUCAAAGAGGUAUUAUACACAAACGAUACACAAUGUACAAUACAA